GACGACCUUUGGCGGCGUGCCUAACACAUGCAAGUCGAACGGAGAAUUUUAUUUCGGUAGAAUUCUUAGUGGCGAACGGGUGAGUAACGCGUAGGCAACCUGCCCUUUAGACGGGGACAACAUUCCGAAAGGAGUGCUAAUACCGGAUGUGAUCAUCGUGCCGCAUGGCAGGAUGAAGAAAGAUGGCCUCUACAAGUAAGCUAUCGCUAAAGGAUGGGCCUGCGUCUGAUUAGCUAGUUGGUAGUGUAACGGACUACCAAGGCGAUGAUCAGUAGCCGGUCUGAGAGGAUGAACGGCCACAUUGGGACUGAGACACGGCCCAAACUCCUACGGGAGGCAGCAGUGGGGAAUCUUCCGCAAUGGACGAAAGUCUGACGGAGCAACGCCGCGUGAGUGAUGAAGGAUUUCGGUCUGUAAAGCUCUGUUGUUUAUGACGAACGUGCAGUGUGUGAACAAUGCAUUGCAAUGACGGUAGUAAACGAGGAAGCCACGGCUAACUACGUGCCAGCAGCCGCGGUAAUACGUAGGUGGCGAGCGUUGUCCGGAAUUAUUGGGCGUAAAGAGCAUGUAGGCGGCUUAAUAAGUCGAGCGUGAAAAUGCGGGGCUCAACCCCGUAUGGCGCUGGAAACUGUUAGGCUUGAGUGCAGGAGAGGAAAGGGGAAUUCCCAGUGUAGCGGUGAAAUGCGUAGAUAUUGGGAGGAACACCAGUGGCGAAGGCGCCUUUCUGGACUGUGUCUGACGCUGAGAUGCGAAAGCCAGGGUAGCGAACGGGAUUAAAUACCCCGGUAGUCCUGGCCGUA
rnacentral:rRNA from 1 species